UACAGAGGUCCCAAGCGUUGUUCGGAUUCAUUGGGCGUAAAGGGCUCGUAGGCGGUCCAUCGCGUCGGGAGUGAAAAGCUGGGGCUUAACCCCAGUCCUGCUUCCGAUACGGGUGGACUAGAGGUAGGUAGGGGAGAUCGGAAUUCCUGGUGUAGCGGUGAAUGACGCAGAUAUCAGGAGGAACACCGGUGGCGAAGGCGGGACUCUGGGCCGAUACUGACGCUGAGGAGCGAAAGCGUGGGGAGCGAACAGG
rnacentral:rRNA from 1 species